rnacentral:rRNA from 1 species
UACGAAGGUGGCUAGCGUUAUUCGGAAUCAUUGGGCGUAAAGAGCGCGUAGGCGGAUUUCUUUGUCAGGGGUGAAAGCCCGGGGCUCAACCUCGGAACUGCCUUUGAUACUGCAAAUCUCGAGUCCGGAAGAGGUGAGUGGAAUUCCUAGUGUAGAGGUGAAAUUCGUAGAUAUUAGGAAGAACACCAGUGGCGAAGGCGGCUCACUGGUCCGGUACUGACGCUGAGGUGCGAAAGCGUGGGGAGCAAACAGG